rnacentral:rRNA from 1 species
GACGAACGCUGGCGGCGUGCCUAAUACAUGCAAGUAGAACGCUGAAGAGAGGAGCUUGCUCUUCUUGGAUGAGUUGCGAACGGGUGAGUAACGCGUAGGUAACCUGCCUUGUAGCGGGGGAUAACUAUUGGAAACGAUAGCUAAUACCGCAUAACAAUGGAUGACACAUGUCAUUUAUUUGAAAGGGGCAAUUGCUCCACUGCAAGAUGGACCUGCGUUGUAUUAGCUAGUAGGUGAGGUAACGGCUCACCUAGGCGACGAUACAUAGCCGACCUGAGAGGGUGAUCGGCCACACUGGGACUGAGACACGGCCCAGACUCCUACGGGAGGCAGCAGUAGGGAAUCUUCGGCAAUGGGGGCAACCCUGACCGAGCAACGCCGCGUGAGUGAAGAAGGUUUUCGGAUCGUAAAGCUCUGUUGUAAGUCAAGAACGAGUGUGAGAGUGGAAAGUUCACACUGUGACGGUAGCUUACCAGAAAGGGACGGCUAACUACGUG